CCUACGGGCGGCAGCAGUGAGGAAUAUUGGUCAAUGGGCGCGAGCCUGAACCAGCCAAGUAGCGUGAAGGAUGACUGCCCUACGGGUUGUACACUUCUUUUAUCAAAGAAUACAGUGAGGCACGAGUGCCUUUUUGUAUGUACUUUAUGAAUAAGGCUCGGCUCACUCCGUGCCAGCAGCCGCGGUAAUACGGAGGAUCCGAGCGUUCUCCGGAUUUAUUGGGUUUAAAGGGAGCGUAGAUGGGUUCGUAAGUCAGUUGUGAAAGUUUGCGGCUCAACCGUAAGAUUGCAAUUGAUACUGGCAGUCUUGAGUACAGUUGAGGUAGGCGGAAUGCGUGGUGUAGCGGUGAAAUGCUUAGAUAUCACGCAGAACUCCGAUUGCGAAGGCAGCUUACUAAACUGCCACUGACAUUGAUGCUCGAAAGUGUGGGUAUCAAACAGGAUUAGAUACCCGAGUAGUC
rnacentral:rRNA from 1 species